GGGCGAUUAGCUCAGCUGGAUAGAGCGUCAGCCUCCGGAGCUGAAGGCCGCGCGUUCGAAUCGCGCAUCGCCCACCA
rnacentral:tRNA from 1 species